rnacentral:misc_RNA from 1 species
AACUUUUGACAAUGGAUCUCUUGGUUCUCGCAUCGAUGAAGAACGCAGCGAAAUGCGAUAAGUAGUGUGAAUUGCAGAAUUCAGUGAAUCAUCGAAUCUUUGAACGCACAUUGCGCCUCCUGGUAUUCCGGGAGGCAUGCCUGUUCGAGCGUCAUUAAAUACCUCUCAAGCAGAUUUGCUUGGUCUUGGAAGAUGAGUUUGCUUGCAUUCUCCCUUCUGAAAUUCAAAGGCGGAUGAUCUCAUAUCCCCAGGCGUAGUAAGAUUAUCUUUUCGCAUGGUGUGUGUGAUAGUCCAGCCGUCAACCCCCAAUUUUUUCAAGGUUGACCUCGGAUCAGGUAGGGAUACCCGCUGAACUUAAGCAUAUCAAUAAGCGGAGGCU